UACGGAGGGUGCGAGCGUUAAUCGGGAUCACUGGGCGUAAAGCGCACGUAGGCGGCUUGGUAAGUCACAUGUGAAAGCCCUCGGCUCAACCGGGGAACUGCGUGUGAUACUGCCUUGCUUGAGUCCUGGGGAGGGUGGCGGAAUUCCCGGUGUAGGAGUGAAAUCCGUAGAUAUCGGGAGGAACACCAGUGGCGAAGGCGGCCACCUGGACAGGUACUGACGCUGAGGUGCGAAAGUGUGGGGAGCAAACAGG
rnacentral:rRNA from 1 species